AUACUUACAUGGGGACAUGGUGAUCACCAAGGUGGUUCUCCCAGGGUGAGGCUCAUAGACUGCGCUUAGGCCACACUGACCUUUGUGACUUCUCCAGGUGUGGGAAACUCAACCGUGCAAUUUCUUUUUUUUUUUUUUUAAUUUUUUUUAAUGUUUAU
ensembl:snRNA U1 U1 spliceosomal RNA